ACGACCUUACUUGAACAGGAUCUGUUCUAUAGGCUCGUACCACUGUGUUCUUGAGUGUUAAGGAGACAGGCAACCUAAUCUGGAUGAUGACAUAAAGAAGAUUCGAGAUCAGAGCGUGAUUAACGGCUCAGAUUCUAUGGGGAUUGGAGGCUGUGGAGGAUCGUUCUCAGUGGGGGUCUCUACUCGCCUGCUGAGGUGGUCUCGAAUCUGUCUGACAGACU